rnacentral:rRNA from 1 species
UAAGCUUCCUACGGGAGGCUGCAGUGGGGAAUAUUGGACAAUGGGCGCAAGCCUGAUCCAGCCAUGCCGCGUGAGUGAUGACGGCCUUAGGGUUGUAAAGCUCUUUCAACGGUGAAGAUAAUGACGGUAACCGUAGAAGAAGCCCCGGCUAACUUCGUGCCAGCAGCCGCGGUAAUACGAAGGGGGCUAGCGUUGUUCGGAAUUACUGGGCGUAAAGCGCACGUAGGCGGACUUGUAAGUCAGGGGUGAAAUCCCGGGGCUCAACCCCGGAACUGCCUUUGAUACUGCGAGUCUUGAGGUCGAGAGAGGUGAGUGGAAUUCCGAGUGUAGAGGUGAAAUUCGUAGAUAUUCGGAGGAACACCAGUGGCGAAGGCGGCUCACUGGCUCGAUACUGACGCUGAGGUGCGAAAGCGUGGGGAGCAAACAGGAUUAGAUACCCUUGUAGUCGAAUUCU